AGGACCACUACCUGAAAAUUGGAAAAAGUUUACGAAGCUGGUAGUAACGUCUAUAUUAAAUGAUUACCAAAUGACUAUCAAAAAUCCAACUCAAACUGAGUUUAUAAAACACUCAACAGGCCCACUGAACAGAUACUGUGCUGUUAAAAGUUCAAUGAAUAGUGAUGCUAUUAAAACAUUUUAUUCAAAAAUGUUUAAUGAUGUUAUUGAGAUGACGAGAUGAUGACUAAUUCAGAUGUCAAUGAAAAUUUCUUUAAAAGAAAAAUUGUAUUUAAUGAAAUAGUUAAGAUUUCUGUUACUUUUUUUUUUUUAAAUUAUUAAUUUUAAUUUAUGUUCUAUUUAGCAUCUAUAUCUAUAUUAUUUUGUAUAAGAACUUUAAAUAUUACAUGUUUACAAUCAAGCAAAAAUUAAGUGUUACAUUCAAAUACAUUA